rnacentral:lncRNA from 1 species
CUUCUCUCUCAAGAUGACUCACAAGCACCACUCGCACAGUACUAAAGAUUCGCCGGUCGCCAUCACCGACGCCCAGAGCCUUCCUGCUUCCGCCACGUAUCCACCUUCGCCAUCAGCAACCUUAUCUUCAGAUUCCUUCCUCCUCAAGGAACUCAUAAGAGCCACAUGAAUUUCCUUCACCCCGAAGCAAUUGCUGCCAACCACAUACUCCCCAUCAGAAGUCUCCUAUAAAUAACCACUUCGGCCAGAAGACGAGGCAGACUGCAUUCAAGGAAAG